UUCUCCAGCUGCCCCGGUUCUUGCACCUACCAUCUUCGCAGUUCUGCGCCGCCGCCGCCGCCGCUAAGGUGUCACUGUGUUGGCGCAUUGCCGCCGCGGUUGCCUUUUUCAUUCUUCGCUGCACCCCCGAUUUCGUCACCCGCAAUCCACUUGAAGAGAUAUUCCGCCACCGGCACUCCCAAAAGCAGAAACACCUUUUCUUUCACACGUGGCGUUGUCGCGAUGCCGAUUCGCCGCUCUGCGUUGACCGCCGUGGAGGUGGUCCUCGCGCGCGAGGCUUGCGAGCCGGUGCUAUCGAACGUGACACACCGCCUUCUGCGUGGCGGUUUUGCCGAAUACGUCAAGUUCAGGCGGGCGUACGCGAAGGAGUGCGAGCGUGCUGUGGCGUCGGCCAAGUCGACGUCGACUGAGUUGCCCUCCACCGGGGCUUUUCAACCGCCGCCGCCGCAGACGAUGCGAGUUGCAUCGGCAUCUGCUGCAACGGCACACGCAGCCGGGUUCUCCCCCUCUUCCUCCACGCCAACACAACAGAUUCGGCGCCGCCGAAUCAACCCUGAGGGGCUGAAGGUGGUCUUCGCACAGUCUGGCGUCCUCCUCACCCCGGAUGACUACGCGGCAAUACUCCUUGCCUACAGUGACCCGGUGGGCUUUGCGCUGGCCGACGAUCUACUGGAGGCGCUGCAUCCAUGCCGGCAAACCCCGCCGGCUCUGACGCAAUCCGUGUCUGAGGUGGCUUCGUCGACCCUUUUUUCCACGCUGCCGCUGCCGUGCGUGUCUGUGACGAUGGAUAGUGCGCGAGAUACCCUCUCCGCUAUCUUUGCUGCCGAACUCUCUCGCGAGGAGGAGAGCGCUGUGGAUGUGCGAACGGCUGCAGACCAGUUGUCUGCGCUGGUAGUAGCCCAAGCUGAUUUGCAGGCAACCUUCGCAUCGACAGUCUACGCCGAAGGGGCAGCGGUGCCCUGCGACGACGUGACGACCUUCAUCGUACUCACCCUCCAGCAGCACCCAUGCCUGGUAGCGAUGAUGCCCGCGCGGUGCAGCUCUGUGGCUGCUUCCCUGCAGCUGGUGCCGGCACCACCUCCACUCGGCCAGGGCGCGACCUCUCCUCUAGCAGCCGCGACUGCCUCCGGCACUAGCGGCACCGCGCUCUUCAGCAUCCGCCAUACGGGCUCGACGACGAAGCGCAAGUUUGAGCGGUACGAGGAGGACAAGGAUCGCCGCGACGAGUGGAUACGUGGCCGCGAAGAGGCGGAUGCACGGCCGAUGUACAUGCGCCACGCUGCUGGCUACGGUGGCCACUUGCCGGAGUACCAGUACCACUUUGGGCGCACCUUCCACGUCAUCGAAGAGGAUCUACCGCAGCUGACGAAGCCGAAGCCGCCGCUGGAGCCGGUGCCGGCCGACUGGUACGGGCCUGGGGUGGAGCUCAAGGAUAGCCGCAUGAAUGCGCAUCACUACCGACUUGCGUAGUGCUUCCCACCUUCUCCCCUACAGGUGGUACGAGGCGAGCGAUAGCCGAAGGGGCAAGAGCUCUUUUUGCGGAGGUGGGACGAUGGAGUACUGCCAGUACCUGCUAAUUAUGGCGGCGGCGACGUGCCACCAUGGCACCACCGUCUCGGAGAACUCUGCCCCGUCGUAGUCCUUCACACAAACGCGAACCCGGCUCAUCUCCCUCGCUCUCCCAUCCCCCCGACUCUUUCGAAUACGCCGCGAAUGGUCUGCAUGUACGUAAAAGACAGAGACACAUGCACCACUGCUGCUUCGUCGGACGCACGGCAGAUCUUGUGGAGGGGGCAGGGCCUGUAGGAAAAGAUGACAGAGGAGGGAAGGGAUCCUGCAGAGGGCGACGUGCUUUGGCCUCUCAGCUGCCCUCUGCCCCGCUCUCUUCUUUCUCCCCACCCGUCCUCUGAAUGUCUCCCCCCCCCUCGCACACAAAUUCGCCCUCGCUGAUGCCGCUUCUCGUGCGGGUGCUCUUGUGUGUGCGCCGGAUGUACUCAUUUCUUGUUCUUCGGUUCGUGUUGUACUUGGGGUUUCACUUUCAUUGGCCAGCACCUCAUCAUAGCCAUGUAGCUGUGUUCUCACCCCCUUCCUUUCCUCUCCGCCGAAUUCCGCCGCCUUUUCGGAGCGUCUUUUCUUCCUCCUCCGCGCGUGCGCACCCUCGACGUGCAUGUCUCCGUCUCCGUGUAUGUGUAUGUGUGUAUGCUUGUUGCCGUAUCCCUUUUCCUCUCUCUUGCUUGCACGUACUCAUCGUCACGCGCCUGGAGCGAACCACUAGAGGCACGUAUGCAAAAUACCAAACAAAAAACG
rnacentral:misc_RNA from 1 species